UACGUAGGGGCCUAGCGUUGUCCGGAUUUAUUGGGCGUAAAGAGCUCGUAGGCGGCUUGGUUAGUCAGGGGUGAAAUCUCCACGCUCAACGUGGAGGGGCCACCUGAUACUGCCAUGGCUUGAGUCCGGUAGGGGAGUGUGGAAUUCCCGGUGUAGCGGUGAAAUGCGCAGAUAUCGGGAGGAACACCCGUAGCGAAGGCGGCACUCUGGGCCGUGACUGACGCUGAGGAGCGAAAGCGUGGGUAGCAAACAGG
rnacentral:rRNA from 1 species